GCAAACUUGGUCAUUUAGAGGAAGUAAAAGUCGUAACAAGGUUUCCGUAGGUGAACCUGCGGAAGGAUCAUCAUUGAAUAACAACUUUUUGCAAGGUUUGAAGGGGGGAGAGGGGGGGAGUUUUCUCUCUUUUGUUCUCUUCUGGCUUGCAAAAAGCAAACAACUUUGAUACCCAAAAAGAGUCGCAUUCUCUUUCCUGGUUGUCUCUUCAGUCUUUUGCAGCUUUUGCAGCUUUUCCAGCUUAUUUGUUUGGGUUGGUUGUUGUUGUGGGAGGCCGAGAGAGAAGAGGGGAAGAGAGGGGGAAACCCCAGACAAAAACAAGUAGUUGCCUGAUAAAAAAGAGUUUGGUUGACAAUGGAAAAUGAAACAACUUUCAACAACGGAUCUCUUGGCUCUCACAUCGAUGAAGAACGCAGC
rnacentral:misc_RNA from 1 species